UUUCAUAAAGUGUAACGUAUAUUCCUAAUAUGGUAUUCCUCAAAUUAUGUUCGAUUAUCACUAUUCUUCUCGUGGCAAUCACUAUUAAUAUGUCAUGGAUCUCAAAGACACAAGUCAUAGCCGCACUCGAAGUUGAUCAUGAUCUCUCAGGACUCAAGAGGAGACUUCUUCCACAACUUAAUACUUGUUGGAGAAGUUGUACUUCCAAUAGUGAUUGCAGCGAUUGUUGGGUUUGUUGUACUUGUCAAUUGAGAGAUGAUUUACCUUUUGUGAAUAAUUGUAUAAUUGUAGCGUAAAAUAGUGGAUGUCUUUGUGUUCUUCGGCAAUAAAAUCCGCUACAAUUCUCUA